AAAGGGGGGUGAUAAAUAAAAAAUUGCUGCAAUACAGUCCUGACCAAGUAGAAAUUUAGACAGUGAUAAGAAACAAACCCACCAGUCAUACUAGCGGAUUUAGGUAGCUAGCUAGCAACAGGCCCACUGCCAGGAAGAUCAGUUUGGACUUUGGAUCUGGAAGGGCUACAUGACAACUCCUGGUAAGACCUGUUUGUGUUUGGGUGAAGACUGGUGGCAGCAGUCAGGCUGAGAAGGCACCACAACCUGUGAUGUCAGCUACUGGAGUGAGCAUGUGGUCUAAGCAUCGCAUGCUGCUUACAGAAAUUAAUAUUAUUGAUUCCCAAACAUUCUCUGCACUUACCAUCCAUGAAGCUCGGACUGAUCAUCUGUCUUGCAUUCCCUUUAUUGAUUUCAAUUUCUGAGCCAAGACAUGCAAGUGUACUUAAAAAUGCACUGAUCCUAUAGCUCUGCAAGCAAUAAGCUCAUGACAAAGGAAUUGACUUGAUUACUGUCGAAGAAAGAGAGAAAAUAAAAAGAAAUAUUGGGAAAUAUACUGUCUUUAAAAAAAUGUGCUCACAUAUUGUAAUUUCUGUCAAAUAAAAAUAGGUAUAUAUGUAGAUUAAGUCUGGAAAGUAUGUAGCCAAGUUUAUAUUCAGAUGUGAAAAAGUGUGAAAAAAUACAGAAUGUUCUCUUCCUGCAAAGCCAAAGAUUAGACAACAGACUGAAUUAUGGUAAGAGAGACUGAGAAAACUGGCUUAUGUUCAUGUGUGGAAAUUAACUUAAUUGUGUAGCCAUUUAUCAUUUUCUUUAUUUCUCCUUCUUGCUAAAUUUUUCCUCUCUCUUUGUCUGUCAUUCUGCAGAAAAUGAGGAUUUUUUUCUUAAGAACACUUUAAACUUUUAAAUAAUAAAUAAAUAUUGUAUGCAAUUACUGAGCUCCAACAUUAGUACCAUGUAAUGCAAAGUUGUAUGCGUUUUGGGGAAAUGGUAAAAUCCAGACUACAUUGUCCAGAUUUAAAAGAAUCGAUUUACAUCUGUAGUAUGAGUAUUUAUGUGUUUUUUCAGUCAGCCAUAAUUUAAUUAUACCACUUUCAUAUGUAGUCCAUGUAUUUCUGCUUUCAAACAGAUCAUUGCAACAAAAAUAUACAUUAUUAGGAAAGGGAGAAAAAUAGUAAAGGAAAAUUCUUUGACAGGAUGAAUGAGCUAAGAAUUCUUUGCUGAAUAUUGGUAUCUUGUGAAUCAAGAACAUUUUCUCCUGAUGUUUGAAUUUAUUCAGGGUAAUCUUUCAUUCUUCUCAGUCUCAGUCAUAACCAGUCUCAGUCAUAACACUUGUCAAGUAAACUUCCAUGCAUAUAUUACAGUGCCUAUCGUGAACUUAUUUUUAGAUGCAAACAAUAGAAGAUUGUCAGAAACCUGAAACCUACUUGAAACAAGGCAUGUGUGACAUCCUUUAAAUAAUGCCAUUUAACACUUGACAAAAUCAAUGACUGGCUAGCUGCUAAUGUUUAUGUUAGAAAAAUAAUGGAUAGGAAUAUGAGAAAUAUGAGUUGAGACAAAAAGGAAUAAACUGAUUGUCUUGCCAAAAAAUAUUUCUAAUGUCUUCUUUUUAAA